rnacentral:rRNA from 1 species
CCUACGGGAGGCAGCAGUAAGGAAUAUUCCGCAAUGGGCGCAAGCCUGACGGAGCAACGCCGCGUGGGGGAUGACGCUUUUCGGAGUGUAAACCCCUUUUCUCAGGGAUGAAUUCUGACAGUACCUGAGGAAGAAGGCCCGGCUAACUACGUGCCAGCAGCCGCGGUAAUACGUAGGGGUCGAGCGUUGUCCGGAGUUACUGGGCGUAAAGCGCGCGCAGGCGGCGCGGUAAGACCGGCGUGAAAGCCCCCGGCUCAACCGGGGAGGGUCGUUGGUGACUGCCGGGCUUGAAGGCAGCAGGGGUGAGUGGAAUUCCCGGUGUAGUGGUGAAAUGCGUAGAGAUCGGGAGGAACACCCGUGGCGAAGGCGGCUCACUGGGCUGACCUUGACGCUGAGGCGCGAAGGCGUGGGGAGCGAACGGGAUUAGAAACCCCGGUAGUCC